UACGUAGGGGCCGAGCGUUGUCCGGAGUUAUUGGGCGUAAAGCGCGCGCAGGCGGCCUCGCGCGCCCGACGUGAAAGCCCCCGGCUUAACCGGGGAGGGUCGUUGGGGACGGCGGGGCUUGAGGGCGGGAGAGGUCGGUGGAAUUCCCGGUGUAGUGGUGAAAUGCGUAGAGAUCGGGAGGAACACCUGUGGCGAAGGCGGCCGACUGGGCCGACCCUGACGCUGAGGCGCGAAGGCGUGGGGAGCGAGCCGG
rnacentral:rRNA from 1 species